GACGUAGGGCGCGAGCGUUGUCCGGAUUUAUUGGGCGUAAAGAGCUCGUAGGCGGCUUGUCGACGUCGACUGUGAAACCUCGCGGCUCAACUGCGGGCUUGCAGCGAUACGGGCAGGCUAGAGUUCGGUAGGGGAGACUGGAAUUCCUGGUGUAGCGGUGAAAUGUGCAGAUAUCAGGAGGAACACCGGUGGCGAAGGCGGGUCUCUGGGCCGAUACUGACGCUGAGGAGCGAAAGCUAGGGUAGCAAACGGG
rnacentral:rRNA from 1 species